rnacentral:piRNA from 1 species
UGGUGAUCUGAGAAUAGGGACCGGGGUCC